rnacentral:rRNA from 1 species
UGGGGGAAUAUUGCACAAUGGGGGAAACCCUGAUGCAGCGACGCCGCGUGAGUGAAGAAGUAUUUCGGUAUGUAAAGCUCUGUCAGCAGGGAAGAAAAUGACGGUACCUGACCAAGAAGCCCCGGCUAACUACGUGCC